UUCUUUGAUGCCUGCGAUUGCUGGCCCUGGCUCGCCUAUGUUGUGUGGGCUGAUAUGAACACCACUGGAUUCAAUGUUGAUUGAGUGGCUUGGGAAGGGGAGUAAAACCGUGGCUUGCGAGGUAAAAGGCUAGAGAAACGUUGUUGUUGAGGCUGCUCCCAGAGCAGAGAUCUUCAAUGGCGAUGUAGGGAAAUUCCAGUGCCCACACAAGUUCCUCCAUUUGGCGAUAUUAGACGAUGAUAUCAAUAUUUAUGUUACUGGGAGCGAGUGACCAAUCGGCAGAAUGUUUAGCUCAUGGAGCUAUCAUCCGAUGAUGCAGGUGGCACGCGGAAAACCAUUGUUUCAGAUUGUCCAUUGUUUCUGUAGUCCAUGGUGCUGAAGAAGUACCCUGAUGCACCCACAGUUGUGUAGAAAUGUGGAUUCGUCGAGUGGAUCUCCAUGAAAGGUCAGGGCAUGUAACAAUCAAGAGCUCUCUCACUUGUCAAAAUGAUGCUAGACAAAGGCAUGUUUUUGCUUGGGUUCACUAAU